GGGAACAAAAAAUUAUAUACUGGAGUAAUGAAUUGGCUGGGCUUUGAAAAAUGGAUAUGAUUAUGAGUUAAAAUAAAGGGAGAGAGGACAUUUUAGGUUCUUGAACCCCUAUGAUGAAAGAUACAGAGGUAAAACUUCCAAGACAGUGGGAGGACAUUGAGUAAACCUGCCUGGUUAGAGUAGAAAUACAGGAGUGAUGAGGUUGGAAAGAUCCGAAAGGGGUGGAGUAUGGAAUAAAUGCUAAAUUUAAAGUAUUUAGUGGAAAGUAUAUUUUAAGCAGGGAGAUAAUGUGUAAAGAUGGGUUUUAGGAAGAUUAAUAUGAAGGAAGUGAUGAUUCCCAGAGAUUUAAAUAAUAAAGAUGUCUUCGGAGUAUCCUGUCUCACAAAUAUCUUUAUAGUUUAAUUAAGAAGUACUUUAGGUAGAACAUUUCAAGUACUUAUGCGAGGGAAAUGAGGAAAUGACCAGAUUCCAAGAAGCCAAGAGAGAUUAGUUUAUAAUAUAUUGAAUUAGCCAGAACAGAUCAUUUAUAAUGUUUGAGUCUAGGAUCCCAUUUUGCACUCAGAUGGACAUGUGAAAAGUGAACUCUAAUCCCAGGAGCUGAGUUUUGAUUCUUCUGUUUCCCGUUUUCUUUUCUAGGAUUGUUUGAACUUGUCGUUAGUGUAAUAUCUUUCCUCUUUUUCACUGACAUGUUCAUCUACUGGAUUCACAGAGGCCUUCAUCAUAGACUGGUAUAUAAGCGCCUACAUAAACCUCACCAUGUUUGGAAGAUUCCUACUCCAUUUGCCAGUCAUGCUUUUCACCCUAUUGAUGGCUUUCUUCAGAGUCUACCUUACCAUAUAUACCCUUUUAUCUUUCCAUUACACAAGGUGGUUUAUUUAAGUCUGUACAUCUUGGUUAAUAUCUGGACAAUUUCCAUUCAUGACGGUGAUUUUCGUGUCCCCCAAAUCUUACAGCCAUUUAUUAAUGGCUCAGCUCAUCAUACAGACCACCAUAUGUUCUUUGACUAUAAUUAUGGACAAUAUUUCACUUUGUGGGAUAGGAUUGGCGGCUCAUUCAAAAAUCCUUCGUCCUUUGAGGGGAAGGGACCGCUCAGUUAUGUGAAGGAGAUGACAGAGGGAAAGCGCAGCAGCCAUUCAGGAAAUGGCUGUAAGAAUGAAAAAUUAUUCAAUGGAGAGUUUACAAAGACUAAAUAGAUUAUUGCCCAGUUAUUCUUAAGUAAGGACAAAGAAGGAAAUAUCAUCGUAUUUCUUUUUUUUAAUAAGGAAAAAAUAAUCUCCGUACAGUCAAGAUACAUAGUAAAUGGUAUCAUUUGGAAAUCAGCAUCGUGGGCACUGCUGAGGAAUGAUCCUAGUGGUAGGUCAGAAGAAGAUGCUGUGAACACCAGGACUUUAAUCUUAUGCUUAAAAUGCCAGAUGUUGUUCGGGGGACAACUUGUAUCUUUCUAGCAGCAGAUCUGUAGUUUGUAUAGCCUCAACAACAAUUUUAAAUAAGAUGGAGAAUAAAUUAUUGAGGGGACUAGGCUAU
rnacentral:sRNA from 1 species